CAAGCUAAACGGAGGAACAUGGAC
rnacentral:piRNA from 1 species